rnacentral:lncRNA from 1 species
AAACUCUAUUGGUGGAAAGUAGACUGGGCCAACUACCAUUCAAAGAAUUCUUGGAAUCAAGAGACCCCUAGAGUCAAAGCACCGAAUGCGACAUUGGCUAAGGAAUUAAAAAAUAUAUUGAACAUUGCACCAUUACUUUUUUGGUAGCAGCUAUCAUGACGGAAUGAGUUGCAUAAAAAUAAUGCAGCAAUUCCCACAUUUAGCAAGAUCUAACUGAGUGCUGUUCAGACAAGCAAGUGGC